AGUGAAAAGCACAAAUCGUGCAGUUUGGUUUCGGCCCAAGCCGAAAGGGUGAAACUCCCUUUUCACUU
rnacentral:tRNA from 1 species